GGCCACCUUUAUACAUUAGACAUUAAAUUUCAGAUUUUUGUUGAGUGAAAAUUCUCUUAGAGUUUCUCCAAGAAUUCUCUAUUAAGUUUUCUUUAGAAGUAAUUUUAACAAUCUUUUUUAUUGUAGGAGCCAUCUUCGGCCUUCUUUUUGCCGUGUGCUUACAUCGGAGGGGAGAUUAGAGCCGUUUGAAGGGAGUUGUGAAAUCUUUUUCGAUUUUAAGGCUUCUUAGGACUUUUCUUAUCUUUAUUGUUGUUUGUUUUUCUUUAGAUUUUUCUGCUUGUGCCGAUUCAUUGAUUAACUUGUUUUAUUCAUUCUUGUUGCGUUUCCAGCCCUUUUCAAUCUUCAAGAAGUUGAUCGGCACCUUUCUUGGCAGCAAGAAAACGUUUUCUAUUCAUAAUUUGCAAUUGAUCUUGCCGCCCAAUUAUCCUAUCUCUGAUUCAAUUCGGUUUGCUGAGUUUUUGAAUUGACUUGUUGUUUUGUGUUCAAUUGUCAGAUUCGGCUGAUUGGAUUAUUUCUUGAAGUUCAAUUUCGUGUUCUUGGCUUCCAAGAAUCCCCUAUUAAUAAGUGUUUCGAUUCUUGGCUGAUUCUUUAUUGUUUUGGGGUUUUUGUUUCAGAUUUGGAAUUCUAAGAUUUAACUUUUCUGUUUCGUUUCAGAUCUCAGCGUCUAAAGCUUUCGUAGGAUUUUCCCAUGACUUGACAACUCGAUCUUGGUCCACGCGCAACCCUCUAUCACAACAUAACUUACUUUAUAAAGUAAUGUACGUUAGUCAUUAUCCAACUGAAUUGAUGUUUAGUUAACUCGUGACGUAGGGGCGAAGUCAGAAUUUUUUCUAAAGGGGGAAGAGAUUAAGUUAUAUACUUUUAUAAGAGUUCAAAUGCAAUUUAACCCUUAUAUUGGCUUAUAUCUUCAUGGUUUUCAAAAGGACUAAAUUGAAAUUCUAGCAUUUUUAGGAGGUCAAACUAUAAUUUAUCACAUAUUGACUUAAAAUUUUAUAAAUUUUUGGGGGCCUAAAGAAGUAAUUUCUCAUUUUAGUUCGCUCAUGUCAUGACACUAACUUAGUUAAUGACUUAAUAUAUAGUAUAGAUGACAUUGUUACUAUUUUAAUUUAUUUUUUACGGUUUAACUUAGUUUCACCC
rnacentral:lncRNA from 1 species